rnacentral:rRNA from 1 species
CUACGGGCGGCUGCAGUGGGGAAUAUUGCACAAUGGGCGCAAGCCUGAUGCAGCCAUGCCGCGUGUAUGAAGAAGGCCUUCGGGUUGUAAAGUACUUUCAGCGGGGAGGAAGGGAGUAAAGUUAAUACCUUUGCUCAUUGACGUUACCCGCAGAAGAAGCACCGGCUAACUCCGUGCCAGCAGCCGCGGUAAUACGGAGGGUGCAAGCGUUAAUCGGAAGUACUGGGCGUAAAGCGCACGCAGGCGGUUUGUUAAGUCAGAUGUGAAAUCCCCGGGCUCAACCUGGGAACUGCCUCUGAUACUGACAAGCUUGAGUCUCGUAGAGGGGGGUAGAAUUCCAGGUGUAGCGGUGAAAUGCGUAGAGAUCUGGAGGAAUACCGGUGGCGAAGGCGGCCCCCUGGACGAAGACUGACGCUCAGGUGCGAAAGCGUGGGGAGCAAACAGGAUUAGAUACCCCUGUAGUC